UUAAUUGAAGCCAAAAAGAGGCUUAUCACUGUUAAUGAUAAAACUGAGACUCAUACUCCAAUUAAA
rnacentral:tRNA from 1 species